rnacentral:rRNA from 1 species
AUACGGAGGGUGCAAGCGUUAAUCGGAAUUACUGGGCGUAAAGCGUACGUAGGCGGUUCGUUAAGUUAGAUGUGAAAGCCCCGGGCUUAACCUGGGAACUGCAUUUAAAACUGGCGGACUAGAGUUGAGUAGAGGGGAGUGGAAUUUCAGGUGUAGCGGUGAAAUGCGUAGAGAUCUGAAGGAACACCAGUGGCGAAGGCGACUCCCUGGACUCGAACUGACGCUGAGGUACGAAAGCGUGGGUAGCAAACAGGAUUAGAAACCCGAGUAGUCC